GAUGAACGCUGGCGGCGUGCCUAAUACAUGCAAGUCGAGCGAACGGACGAGAAGCUUGCUUCUCUGAUGUUAGCGGCGGACGGGUGAGUAACACGUGGAUAACCUACCUAUAAGACUGGGAUAACUUCGGGAAACCGGAACUAAUACCGGAUAAUAUUUUGAACCGCAUGGUUCAAAAGUGAAAGACGGUCUUGCUGUCACUUAUAGAUGGAUCCGCGCUGCAUUAGCUAGUUGGUAAGGUAACGGCUUACCAAGGCAACGAUGCAUAGCCGACCUGAGAGGGUGAUCGGCCACACUGGAACUGAGACACGGUCCAGACUCCUACGGGAGGCAGCAGUAGGGAAUCUUCCGCAAUGGGCGAAAGCCUGACGGAGCAACGCCGCGUGAGUGAUGAAGGUCUUCGGAUCGUAAAACUCUGUUAUUAGGGAAGAACAUAUGUGUAAGUAACUGUGCACAUCUUGACGGUACCUAAUCAGAAAGCCACGGCUAACUACGUGCCAGCAGCCGCGGUAAUACGUAGGUGGCAAGCGUUAUCCGGAAUUAUUGGGCGUAAAGCGCGCGUAGGCGGUUUUUUAAGUCUGAUGUGAAAGCCCACGGCUCAACCGUGGAGGGUCAUUGGAAACUGGAAAACUUGAGUGCAGAAGAGGAAAGUGGAAUUCCAUGUGUAGCGGUGAAAUGCGCAGAGAUAUGGAGGAACACCAGUGGCGAAGGCGACUUUCUGGUCUGUAACAGGCGCUGAUGUGCGAAAGCGUGGGGAUCAAACAGGAUUAGAUACCCUGGUAGUCCACGCCGUAAACGAUGAGUGCUAAGUGUUAGGGGGUUUCCGCCCCUUAGUGCUGCAGCUAACGCAUUAAGCACUCCGCCUGGGGAGUACGACCGCAAGGUUGAAACUCAAAGGAAUUGACGGGGACCCGCACAAGCGGUGGAGCAUGUGGUUUAAUUCGAAGCAACGCGAAGAACCUUACCAAAUCUUGACAUCCUUUGACAACUCUAGAGAUAGAGCCUUCCCCUUCGGGGGACAAAGUGACAGGUGGUGCAUGGUUGUCGUCAGCUCGUGUCGUGAGAUGUUGGGUUAAGUCCCGCAACGAGCGCAACCCUUAAGCUUAGUUGCCAUCAUUAAGUUGGGCACUCUAAGUUGACUGCCGGUGACAAACCGGAGGAAGGUGGGGAUGACGUCAAAUCAUCAUGCCCCUUAUGAUUUGGGCUACACACGUGCUACAAUGGACAAUACAAAGGGCAGCGAAACCGCGAGGUCAAGCAAAUCCCAUAAAGUUGUUCUCAGUUCGGAUUGUAGUCUGCAACUCGACUACAUGAAGCUGGAAUCGCUAGUAAUCGUAGAUCAGCAUGCUACGGUGAAUACGUUCCCGGGUCU
rnacentral:rRNA from 1 species